UAAACGACUCUCGGCAACGGAUAUCUCGGCUCUCGCAUCGAUGAAGAGCGUAGCGAAAUGCGAUACUUGGUGUGAAUUGCAGAAUCCCGCGAACCAUCGAGUCUUUGAACGCAAGUUGCGCCCGAAGCCAUUAGGUUGAGGGCACGUCUGCCUGGGCGUCUCGC
rnacentral:rRNA from 1 species